UACGUAGGGUCCGAGCGUUGUCCGGAAUUAUUGGGCGUAAAGGGCUCGUAGGCGGUUUGUCGCGUCGGGAGUGAAAACAGCGGGCUUAACUCGUUGCUUGCUUCCGAUACGGGCAGACUAGAGGUAUGCAGGGGAGAAUGGAAUUCCUGGUGUAGCGGUGAAAUGCGCAGAUAUCAGGAGGAACACCGGUGGCGAAGGCGGUUCUCUGGGCAUUACCUGACGCUGAGGAGCGAAAGCGUGGGGAGCAAACAGG
rnacentral:rRNA from 1 species